rnacentral:lncRNA from 10 species
GUCACAGAUCAACAGGAUCCCAAGGCAGAAGAAUUUUUCUUAGUGCAGAACAAAAUGAAAAGUCUCCCAUGUCUACUUCUUUCUACACAGACACAGCAACCAUCCGAUUUCUCAAUCUUUUCCCCACCUUUCCCCCUUUUCUAUUCCACAAAACCGCCAUUGUCAUCAUGGCCCGUUCUCAAUGAGCUGUUGGGCACACCUCCCAGACGGGGUGGUGGCUGGGCAGAGGGGCUCCUCACUUCCCAGUAGGGGCGGCCGGGCAGAGGCGCCCCUCACCUCCCGGACGGGGCAGCUGGCCGGGCGGGGGGGCUGACCCCCCCCCACCUCCCUCCCAGACGGGGCAGCUGGCCGGGCAGAGGGGCUCCUCACUUCCCAGUAGGGGCGGCCGGGCAGAGGUGCCCCUCACCUCCCGGACGGGGCAGCUGGCCGGGCAGGGGGCUGACCCCCCCACCUCCCUCCCAGACUGGGCGGCUGGCCGGGCAAAGGGGCUCCUCACUUCCCAGUAGGGGCGGCCGGGCAGAGGCGCCCCUCACCUCCCAGACGGGGCAGCUGGCCGGGCGGAGGGCUGACCCCCCCACCUCCCUCCUGGACAGGGCGGCUGGCUGGGCAGGGGGCUGACCCCCCCACCUCCCUCCCG